rnacentral:rRNA from 1 species
AUACGAAAGGUGCAAGCGUUGUUCGGAUUUACUGGGCGUAAAGAGAGUGUAGGUUGUUUAUUAAGUCGGAUGUGAAAUCCCGGGGCUCAACCUCGGAACUGCAUUCGAUACUGGUAGACUAGAGUUCGGGAGGGGUAAGCGGAAUUCCGUGUGUAGCAGUGAAAUGCGUAGAUAUACGGAGGAACACCUGAGGCGAAGGUGGCUUACUGGACCGAUACUGACACUGAGACUCGAAAGCGUGGGUAGCAAACAGGAUUAGAAACCCUAGUAGUCC